UAUUAGAUGAGCCUAAGUCGGAUUAGCUAGAUGGUGGGGUGAAGGCCUACCAUGGCGACGAUCUGUAGCUGGUCUGAGAGGAUGAUCAGCCACACCCGGGACUGAGACACGGCCCGGACUCCUACGGGAGGCAGCAGUGGGGAAUAUUGGACAAUGGGGGCAACCCUGAUCCAGCCAUGCCGCGUGUGUGAAGAAGGCCUUUUGGUCGUAAAGCACUUUAAGCAGUGAAGAAGACUCCGUGGUUAAUACCCACGGACGAUGACAUUAGCUGCAGAAUAAGCACCGGCUAACUCUGUGCCAGCAGCCGCGGUAAUACAGAGGGUGCAAGCGUUAAUCGGAAUUACUGGGCGUAAAGCGAGCGUAGGUGGCUUGAUAAGUCAGAUGUGAAAUCCCCGGGCUUAACCUGGGAACUGCAUCUGAUACUGUUAAGCUAGAGUAGGUGAGAGGGAAGUAGAAUUUCAGGUGUAGCGGUGAAAUGCGUAGAGAUCUGAAGGAAUACCGAUGGCGAAGGCAGCUUCCUGGCAUCAUACUGACACUGAGGCUCGAAAGCGUGGGUAGCAAACAGGAUUAGAUACCCUGGUAGUCCACGCCGUAAACGAUGUCUACUAGUCGUUGGGUCCCUUGAGGACUUAGUGACGCAGCUAACGCAAUAAGUAGACCGCCUGGGGAGUACGGCCGCAAGGUUAAAACUCAAAUGAAUUGACGGGGGCCCGCACAAGCGGUGGAGCAUGUGGUUUAAUUCGAUGCAACGCGAAGAACCUUACCUGGUCUUGACAUAUCUAGAAUCCUGCAGAGAUGCGGGAGUGCCUUCGGGAAUUAGAAUACAGGUGCUGCAUGGCUGUCGUCAGCUCGUGUCGUGAGAUGUUGGGUUAAGUCCCGCAACGAGCGCAACCCUUGUCCUUAGUUACCAGCGGGUUAAGCCGGGAACUCUAAGGAUACUGCCAGUGACAAACUGGAGGAAGGCGGGGACGACGUCAAGUCAUCAUGGCCCUUACGACCAGGGCUACACACGUGCUACAAUGGUAGGUACAGAGGGCAGCUACACAGCGAUGUGAUGCGAAUCUCAAAAAGCCUAUCGUAGUCCAGAUUGGAGUCUGCAACUCGACUCCAUGAAGUAGGAAUCGCUAGAAUCGCGAUCAGA
rnacentral:rRNA from 1 species